rnacentral:rRNA from 1 species
CCUACGGGGGGCAGCAGUGAGGAAUAUUGGUCAAUGGACGAGAGUCUGAACCAGCCAAGUAGCGUGAAGGAUGACUGCCCUAUGGGUUGUAAACUUCUUUUAUAUGGGAAUAAAAUGUUCCACGUGUGGGAUUUUGUAUGUACCAUAUGAAUAAGGAUCGGCUAACUCUGUGCCAGCAGCCGCGGUAAUACGGAGGAUCCGAGCGUUAUCCGGAUUUAUUGGGUUUAAAGGGAGCGUAGGUGGAUGGUUAAGUCAGUUGUGAAAGUUUGCGGCUCAACCGUAAAAUUGCAGUUGAAACUGGCAGUCUUGAGUACAGUAGAGGUGGGCGGAAUUCGUGGUGUAGCGGUGAAAUGCUUAGAUAUCACGAAGAACUCCGAUUGCGAAGGCAGUUCACUGGACUGCAACUGACACUGAGGCUCGAAAGUGUGGGUAUCAAACAGGAUUAGAUACCCCAGUAGUC